GGGGGGAGCAAGCGUUGUUCGGAUUUACUGGGCGUAAAGGGCGGGUAGGCGGCCACCGCAAGUCAGUUGUGAAAUCUCCGGGCUUAACCCGGAAAGGUCAACUGAUACUGCGGGGCUAGAGUGCAGAAGGGGCAACUGGAAUUCUCGGUGUAGCGGUGAAAUGCGUAGAUAUCGAGAGGAACACCUGCGGCGAAGGCGGGUUGCUGGGCUGACACUGACGCUGAACUGCGAAAGCUAGGGGAGCGAACGGGAUUAGAUACCCCGGUAGUCCUAGCCUUAAACGAUGAAUGCUGGGUGUCUGGGGUUUUAUAGUCCCCGGGUGCCGUCGCUAACGCUUUAAGCAUUCCGCCUGGGGAGUACGGUCGCAAGGCUG
rnacentral:rRNA from 1 species